AGGAUAAAAACUGGGGGGUGUUAGAAGUUAGUCACUUAGAAACGGGUCGUCGCAAGAUGGACAAUCUAGGUGAAAAACGGACAAAACCAACUCCGGAUCAAUAAACUGAGAUCGUCCACAACUUUCGAGUUGGAUCGCAGUUAAAGGUAAA
rnacentral:ncRNA from 2 species